rnacentral:rRNA from 1 species
AUCUCGUGCCGUGAGAUGUUGGGUUAAGUCCCGCAACGAGCGCAACCCCUGCUACUAGUUGCCACCAGGUAAUGCUGAGCACUCUAGUAGGACUGCCUACGCAAGUAGUGAGGAAGGUGGGGAUGACGUCAAGUCCGCAUGGCCCUUACGCCUAGGGCUACACACGUGCUACAAUGGUCGCUACAAAGGGUUGCAAUACCGCGAGGUUGAGCUAAUCCCUAAAAAGCGGUCUCAGUUCGGAUUGCAGUCUGCAACUCGACUGCAUGAAGCUGGAAUUGCUAGUAAUCGCGCAUCAG